ensembl:lncRNA
CUUCCCAGAGGCCGGAGUCCCUGACCUGAGCGGUGACCGCGGGGUCCGCGGGAAGCCUGACUUUGUUGUUGUUUUUUUUUAAUUUUUAUUUAUUUAUGAUAGUCACACACACACACACACAGAGAGAGAGAGAGGCAGAGACACAGACAGAGGGAGAAGCAGGCUCCAUGCACCGGGAGCCCGACGUGGGAUUCGAUCCCGGGUCUCCAGGAUCGCGCCCUGGGCCAAAGGCAGGCGCUAAACCGCUGCGCCACCCAGGGAUCCCGGAAGCCUGACUUUGUCCAGGUGGGAACCCCUGACCUCUGCUUUGUCCGAUCCCCAGGCCUGACCCCAGGCUCAGGCAGGAGUCAGGGGCUGGGCACGCUCAGGCUGUAAUGGUGUCCCUCACGGCAGAUUUACAAAGCACUUCUCCUUCAUCACCCCCUCCUGGUCACAGGCGGGCCGUCUCCGCGAAGGAAGGAGGCUGAGAGAGGCCAGGCGGUUCAGCCUGGGAGGGGCUCUCGUGUGUCCCAAGUGUCCAAUUCCGUGGUGCUCUCCACGUAGGCUUGCUGGGAGAGCCUUGCAGCUGGGCACACCUGUCUUCACCAGGCCUUUGGGGUCAGGGGCUAGGAUGCCUUGCCCCCAGGGUGGGCCACCAAUGCACCUGGCCAGCCAUUCAGAACAGCAGCCGGAGGAUGAGUCGUGGAGGAGCGCGCAGCAGGGCUGGGCACAGGCUGUGCAGAAGAGGACACGGGCGGGGGAUUUAGAGCCCGAGGCAGGUGGCUCUAGACAGUGGCAGGCUGCUCCUGUGUCACCAGCACCACCUGGUAGAAACAGCCCCCAAGAUGGACCAGUGAUGCCACCUGCACGGAUGCAAAGGUGACCGGCUAUGACUCGUGCGUGCUUCCCACAUGUGAAUCCAGACCACCUCUGUUCCCUCUGCCACGAGGACGGGGCACCCUCAGAGGCAACACCAGCUACUUGCUCCUUGAAACACUGAGCAAAAAAAAAAAAAAAAAAAAAAAAAAACCCNGAUCUUCUCCAUCAGCGCCAGGUGGGACGUGGCCUCAAGGUAAUGCAGACAAACGUCCCUCUGGAACCUUUAGCAUAACACGUGUGUAAAGGAUCAACUCACACAUGGACACUGAUAAAGCUUUGGACUCCCACGUUGUCACUCCUACUGUGAGGAGUAGGAACAACACGAAUACUAAUAGACAGUAAACAAAAAAUCAUAUUCCCCACUAUUUGUCACACGAGGUGCACCUGUCACUGUUGGCACACUUAAAAAAAUUAUUUAAGAGAGAGUGAGCGAGAGAGGGAGAGGGAUCACAAGCAGGGAGGAAGAGAGGGAGAGGGGGAAGCAGGUCCCUGUUGUGCAGGCAGCCGGAGGCAGGGCUCGAUCCUGGGACUCCAGGAUCAUGACCUGAGCUGAAGGCAGACGCUUCACCCACUGAGCCCCACAGGUGCCACAGGGCAUGUGCUGACUUUGCCUCAUAGGUGCAAAUGACCAUCUUACAGAGGACGAGGAAUUUGGGGAAAUUGCCCCAAAAUCAUGCAGCAGGUUGGGGGUGGUGCAAGCCCUGCCUUUUGCCUCCCACCCUGGGCCCCUGUUAUCGUCCAGGCCCACACUGAGCGUGCCCACCAAGCCAUCAUGCACCGCGGCCUAGGAAUUCCUGGGUUAGACCCUUAAACGGUAUCUGGUUGUGGCUGGUCCAAUUGAAGAUUUAUUUUAGUAAUUUAUGUAAUAAUUCAAAUAAGUGUGAAUAUCAUUAUUGCAAAAGCAAUCGUCCUCAUUAUACAAAACAGAGAAAUACAGAAAAGCACAUAAAAAAAUACAAUUUCUCUUCUCCCUCCCCCUCUCUGCCUCUCCUCUGUUUCUCCCUCCCUGCGCUCACGCUGUGGACAAACAGCACACGUCUUCCCCGCUUCCCAGCAACCUCGCUAGGCCCCUAAUCAGUGCCAGGCUUUUUUCUAUAUGUAAACACACACAUGUGCACACGUGCGUGCACACACACGUAUGCACAUGCCCGCGUGCACCCCCCACCCCCACGUUUUCAUUGGGUUGGGUUUAGCUUUCUGCAGUCACACACGUCUCCAGGGCAGUAGGUGUCACACCACGGUUCUCUUUCCCUCCUGAGCAUCUUCUGUCCAGGCCAACACUGACUGCCCUCGCCCUUUUGUUUUCUGGACCCUCAGGGGCCCACUUGACAGGCCAAAUCCUGUCCCUCCAACUUGAAUAUGGGAGUCGUCAUACUUCCCUCCGCAUAAUACCCUCUAGCUCCAUCCACAUCAUUGCAAAUGGUUCAAUCAGAGGAGGACAAUUGUCUUAUGAUUUCACGCAUGUGGAAUAUAAGAAACCUGGUCAAACAGAGGAGCAUAGGGGAAAGGAGGGAAAAAUAAAUGAGACAAAAUCAGAGAGGGAGGCA